UAGGGCCCAAGCCAGCCAGGAAGGAGGAGGCAGCCUGAGUGUUCUCUGCAGCAGAAGAGCCCUUGCUGCACUGCUUAACCCAGACCAGCAUUUGCCAGGUUUGUGGAAAAGUGAUCCUGGACAACCGAACAUAUUACAAUCCUUCUCUGGUCUCCAUCGAACAUCUGAAAAGCAGUGGGAUCGUGGAGCUCUGGAUGUGAUUUGCAGUGGAGAAGAAGAAGCAGAUUUACUCAGUGGUCCUGCGGAAGAUUGACUGCCGAAAUGAGGAGCUAGUCACCCACUUAUCUCGUUGAUCUUCUGCAAGAUUGAUGGCCUGAAGGGGAAGCAAAAAAAGAAAAAAGAAAAGGAACCCAGAUAAAUCUAUCCAAACUCAAAACUCAGGAAAAGAGUGCAGUGGCACACAGAGGGCAUAGGCAGCCCAUGUUCAGGCUGCCUGCCCCAAUCCGACAGUGCCCCCCUUCCUGCUGCCCCUUCUUUUUCCUUCACCACAUGGCGGGAGCCCCUUUUCUCUCUGCAGUGUCUGUCAGUGGCGGCAGCAGCGGUAGCGGCAGUCUUCCUGAGAGAGCAGCCAAGGAUAGGCUGCCCUGCCCGUGCCACUCAACCCCUACUGCCCCCACCACACAUGACGGGAAGAGAAGGGGUGCCCCACACAUGCAGCAGGAAAAAGGAGGUACAUAUGUGUACAUAUGUGUAUCGAGAGGAAGCAGUUUAUGCAAGUGCACCCAAGAGUCAGCCAGGGAAGGGAAUGUGCAAUCGGGGCCUAGAUGUGCCCCUCUCCCAAGUGUAACACAAUAUCAGAAUGGAACCUGCAUGUGUGAAGAGGUGGGGGCAGCUGAGCAGAGGGGGCAGGGCAGCCUACCCUGGGCUGCUCCCUCAGGUGGGCUGCUGCUGUUUCCACCCCUGCUGCUGCAGCCCCCCCUACCAUGAUUGGUGGGGAGAAAAGGGGUGGCGGGUGCCGCUGUCAAGUGCUAGAUAACAGCUGUGCCCCAGGAAUAGUGCCACCUGCUGGCUGGCAAUCAAUGGAAUUUUUACUGCAGGCUUUACAAUGGUGGGGGGAGUGUUAAUGUGGCUGGGCUGGCAAGUCCCAUUUCAAACUGGUUUUCGGGCGGGCUAUGGGGUGGAGACUGCCUUGGUCGGCCUGAUGGUUGAUCUCCAAUUGGCAAUUGACAGAGGAAGUGUGACUCUGUUGGUCCUUUUGGACUUCUCAGCGGCUUUUGAUACUAUCCACCAUAGUAUCCUUCUAGAACGUCUGAGAGGGUUGGGGGUGGGAGGCACUGUUUUACAGUGGUUCCAUUCCUACCUCUCAGAUAGAUUCCAGAUGGUGUCGAUUGGAGACUGUUGCUCUUCGAGAUCUGAGCUUAAGCAUGGUGUCCCUCAAGGCUCCAUACUUUCUCCAAUGCUUUUUAACAUCUACAUGAAAACGCUGGGAGAGAUCAUCAGGGGAUUUGGAGCUGGAUGUUACCAGUACGCUGAUGACACCCAGAUCUACUUCUCCAUGCCAACUUCUUCAGGAGCUGGCAUAUCCUCUCUAAAUGCCUGCCUGGAAGCAGUAAUGGGCUGGAUGAGGGAGAAUAAACUGAAGCUAAAUCCAGAUAAGACAGAGGUACUUAUUGUGCGGGGUCAGAACUCCAGAGACGAUUUUGAUCUACCUGUUCUAGAUGGGGGUCACACUUCCCCAAAAGGAACAGGUUCACAGUCUGGGAGUACUUCUGGAUUCACACCUCCAUGGUUUCUCAGGUUGAGGCGGUGGCCAGGGGUGCUUUCUAUCAGCUCCGGCUGAUACACCAGCUGCGCCCAUUUCUCGAGAUCAAUGACCUCAAAACUGUGGUACAUCUGUUGGUAACCUCCAAACUGGACUUUUGUAAUGCACUCUACAUGGGGCUGCCUUUGUAUGUAGUCUGGAAACUUCAGUUGGUUCAGAAUGUGGUAGCCAGGUUGGUCUCUGCGUCAUCUCGGAUAGACCAUGUUACUUCUUUACUGAUGGAGUUACACUGGCUGCCAAUAGGUUUCCAGACAAAAUACAAAGUGCUAGUUAUGACUUACAAAGCCCUAAACGGCUUAGGCCCUGGGUAUCUAAGAGAGCGUCUUCUUCAUUACAAGCCCCACCGCCCAUUGAGGUCAUCUGAGGAGAUCCGUCUCCAGUUACCGCCAACUCGUUUGGUGGCUACACAGAGAUGGGCCUUCUUGGUCGCUGCCCUGAGAUUGUGGAAUACACUCCCAGCUGAGAUACAAUCCUCCCCAUCUCUGGCAAUUUUCAAAAAACACCUGAAAACCCAUCUCUUCACCCAAGCUCACUCAGUAUCCUAAAUGUUGGGGUUUUUAAACUCUGGUUCGAAUUCGAAAGAUCGAAAGAACGGAAAUUGAAAUACAUUUUCAUGGGCCCAGUUGAAAAUUUUCAGACACACACCAUGCAUGCACAGUUAGGAAAGAGGAGGAGUGGUGCCUCGCCUCCUCUAGAAAGCCAUUGGCCAGAAGGGGCCAGAGAAAGACUGGGGAGCAAGCGGUUUGAAUGGUGCAUAGUAGGGGGAAAUGCAAGGAAUGGAGAUGAAGCCUAUUAAAACAAAACUGAUGUGAUGUGAUGCCCCUAGGUUUCUCCAAGUUAUCUUUACUGAGCUUAUAUGCAGCCAAUAUAUACCCUCAUAAUUCACUUUACUUUACCCCACUUAAUCCUGCAGUAAAGCCCGCCAUCUGGGAAAGGCCAGGGUCUUUCAUGAGUCCAGAAAGAGCUGCACCGACAUUCAUUUCCAGCUGAUCUAUUCAAUGAUGAUAUUUACCCUAAUAUUGCUCUCGCAUUUUAAAAUUUUAUUGGUUUCUACAAUAUCUUAACAGUCAAAUUACAUUUAAUUAAGUAAAUAUUGACUUCCCGCUCACGAGUCUGCGUGGUUCAUAUUAGCUCUACAAAUCUACCAUUGCUAUAUCCAUAUUUGAAAAAUAGUUCUUCAAAUAAAGUAAGAAUGGCUCCCAAUCUUCUUUGAAACAUUCCAAGUUUUCAUCCCUUAUGAGUGCUGUAAGUUUUGCCGUCUCAGCAUAUUCCAAAAUUUUUAUCAACCAAUCUUCUUUUGAGGGCAUUUUAUUAUCUUUCCAUUUCUGCGCAUAUACUAUUCUAGCCACCGUGGUUGCAUACAUAAAAAAUGUUAAGUUUCUUCUAGAGAACUCUCCUUGCGUUAUUCCCAGUAGGAAGGAUUCUGGUCUCUUAGGAAAUGUCAUUUUAAAAAUUUUCUUCAACUCAUUAUAUAUCAUAUCCCAAAAGGCCUUUGCUUUCCCGCAUGACCACCACAUAUG